UACGGGGGGGGCAAGCGUUGUUCGGAAUUACUGGGCGUAAAGGGCUCGUAGGCGGCCAACUAAGUCGGACGUGAAAUCCCUCGGCUUAACCGGGGAACUGCGUCCGAUACUGGAUGGCUUGAGGUUGGGAGAGGGAUGCGGAAUUCCAGGUGUAGCGGUGAAAUGCGUAGAUAUCUGGAGGAACACCGGUGGCGAAGGCGGCAUCCUGGACCGGUAUUGACGCUGAGGCGCGAAAGCCAGGGGAGCAAACGGG
rnacentral:rRNA from 1 species